rnacentral:rRNA from 1 species
UACAGAGGUCUCAAGCGUUUGUUCGGAUUCAUUGGGCGUAAAGGGUGCGUAGGUGGCGCCGUAAGUCGGGUGUGAAAUUUCGGAGCUUAACUCCGAAACUGCAUUCGAUACUGCGGUGCUUGAGGACUGGAGAGGAGACUGGAAUUCAUGGUGUAGCAGUGAAAUGCGUAGAGAUGUGGAGGAACACCAGUGGCGAAGGCGGCUUUCUGGUCUGUAACUGACGCUGAGGCGCGAAAGCGUGGGGAGCAAACAGG